rnacentral:rRNA from 1 species
UACGGAGGGUGCGAGCGUUGUCCGGAAUCAUUGGGCGUAAAGGGCGCGUAGGUGGCCCGGUCAGUUCGUGGUGAAAGCGCGGGGCUCAACCCUGCGUCGGCCAUGAAUACUGCCGCGGCUGGAGCACUGUAGAGGCAGGCGGAAUUCCGGGUGUAGCGGUGGAAUGCGUAGAGAUCCGGAAGAACACCAGUGGCGAAGGCGGCCCGCUGGGCAGUGGGCUGACGCUGAAGCGCGACAGCGUGGGGAGCAAACGAGGAUUGAUAUACCCCAGUACCGUCGAGACCCA